CGUGUAGGCGGCGAUUUAAGUCUGGAGUGAAAGUCCUGCUUUUAAGGUGGAAUUGCUUUGGAUACUGGAUGGCUAGAGUGCAGGAGAGGUUAGUGGAAUUCCCAGUGUAGCGGUGAAAUGCGUAGAGAUUGGGAGGAACACCAGUGGCGAAGGCGACUAACUGGACUGUAACUGACGCUGAGGCGCGAAAGUGUGGGGAGCAAACA
rnacentral:rRNA from 1 species